ensembl:lncRNA
CUCUGUGCCUUUGUUGUGCAGUAAAGGAGCGAUUGUAGAGCAGCGUAUGCACGAGUAGAAUGAACGGGGUGAACGCGGGCUUAGUUCCUGAGGAACUGCACACUAAGUAAAGCGCUCCGCCCCCUGCAGCAGUGGGCUGUGCUAUAGGCAGCCGCCUCCCUCCCUCCCUGCCUGUCUUCUUUUCCUUCUUUCCUCCUUUCUUCCCCCCUCCCUCCCUGCCCCUCUGUGCCGCACUGGAGAGCAAACCAGACCCUUGCACGUGCUAGGCAAGCACGGCCCAGCCAGGCAGGUGUUGCUUGUGUUGAACGUGAAGGAAGCCUCAGCAGGGGCCGAGUCCGAGUGAGCGGCGCUGGCUUUCACCCCGGCUGAGUUCGAGUUCGCAGGACUGCUCCCCACGCCUAAGCGAGGAGAUUCGUCCCCUCCAGGAAUGCAGCGCCCGCUUCCCUCUCACUAGAGCUGAACCAGCGUGCGCGGAAGUGAAAAGGCAAAGGCCCCAAGGGCUGUGAGUUUCCCUUCCUGCUCCGCGCUCGCGCUUCCGGCCGCUGCCCUCAGCGGACGGGUCCUGCCCACCCUCCCCAGCUGCGGGGCGCGGCCCAGUGAGCCUUCCCCGAGUUCUCGCCCGAGAAGCGAGAAGCGGCCGCUGCCUUGGCGAUCGGAAGGCGGGGCCCGCUCAGCACCGUCCAGAACUCGCCUGGGCUCUGGCAGGCGGGGGGCGAGGCCGAGACUUGGCUGGGCUGUCCCUUCCGCCGGCCUCGGCUGGCAGCUCUUCCGGCGGCGGGCGAGGCAAGCGAGCUGCUGCUUCCUCUCACCGCCUUCCCACGCCCGCUCGCACCAGCAUCUCGCGGAUGGCGGAGGCCCGGCAGGAGAGGCUGUGGCAGGUUUAACUGGGCUCUGCAGCCCCCACCUCGCCGGUGCACGGCUUCCCCAGCGCAGGUCUGGGAUGGGGAAGGAAGGGAUCUAAAUGGCAGAUGCAGAGCUCACCAGGAGCUUUAAUCUGAGAAGAUCGUAGCACUUAAUGGGAUCGGUGGACAUUGCUGGAUUAUGAUUUUUUUUUUUUUUUUGGUACCGGGGGAUGGAACUCGGGUCCUUGCGCUUGCGCAGCAGGCGAUGAAACCACUGAGCGAAAUCCCCGGCCCUGGACUAUGAUUUUAACACUGGGAGAUCAAAUAAGCUUAAAAUCUGUUUGCCUCCUGAGUGCUGCGAUCACAGGUGUGGGCCACCACACCCAGCUAGUCUCUUUUCUGACACCGGAACGACCUUCGUACUUCAGCACAGGGGACUGCUGGAGGACUCAGACACCAGAGUUAGAGCUCCCGGGGUUCUGUCGCGCUGCGAGUCGGGUCACGGUGGUCACCACUGAGCUCGGAGGCCAGGACAUGCUGACUCUGGAAAACACAAUCGCCUUGGCCACCUCCCUUCCAGCUUCCUUCUAGUGUGCUGGUAAGCGUCUCCAUUUGCAUGUUUCCGUAACCACAGGAGAAGGCUUAUUUUGAUCAUCCCUAAAAAAACCAACUACAGUAUCCCAGGAGAGAAACAGUAACUUCUAGAAGCUGAAUGUCAAAUCCCAAUGUAGAUUUUCCAUAUCUUACUGGUGUCCGUUUGCUUUUCUUUUGUUUCUGCUGAACUGAAAUUAAAAAAAAAAAGUCCACUUCUGGGCCUUUGAUGUCAGCAAGGGUCACCUGAAACCAAGCAUGAGGUCAUUUUGUUUUAUGCAUCUUGGGUGAAUUGAGUCGAGCAGGGGCCUGCUGCUUAGAGGCCGUCCGCUGUGCAGUCUCGCUCCCACCCCAGCCAGUGCCACAGGUUGGGUGCAGGGUCCCGAAGCCUGGGCCCUGGGGAGACAGGAGGUGGGAUCGAGGGCUUCGGAAGGCUUCCUUAACAGCGGCUCUCAUUUGGCUGGCUCCGUAAACCCUUUGCAGAGCACCAAGGCGUCAGUGAUUACUGCUCACCUCGGGGAUGAAAGCACAGGAAGCAGAAUCCGUAGCAGCCGCUGUGGAUGCCGGGACAAACGGAAGUGGGCCCCAUCCCAGCCACUGGCCCUCGGGCUCACUGCUAGUGAGACACGAGCCACUCAGAGGGAGAACCGAGUCAGCCAUAGGAAAAGCCAGAUGUGUCCGAGCACACACAGCUUAAACGUACGAGAUAGCAGCAUGUGUUUGUUUCUGAACAUGAGGUCGCACUGUCCACUAGUAAGUCAUGUCCCGCAGAUGCCAGGUGCUAGGAUUAUCCAUGCCUCCCCUAACCGAGGAGACAGACUAAGAAGUGCAGGGCUCUCUCCUAAUUUCCCUAUUUAUCCCGGGGAAGGGAUGAGCAGCUAGGUGUAAUAAUUACCACCCAGAACCACAAAACCCGGCAGACAGUCGUGGGCAGCGGUCUGGUCCCAAGUUAUUCUGCCACCAGUUGCAAUUUGACGCCCCCUGGUGGGCUUGUCUGUCCAGCUUAAUUAAAUCAGGAUGGGCUUCUGGGUCCAUGCAGGGAAUCUCCCCAUGCGCUGGCAUCUGUCCGUGAGCCGCUGGAGAUGGCCCAAGGUCACCUUCUUCCUCCCUGCCCCUUAGGCUGGCAGUUGGCUGCUGGCUCCGUCUGACCCUUGCCAGCACCUAAAUCAAGACGACAGCCUUAGCUUGCCCUGUUCCGGGAGGAAGGGGAAUGGAUUCAGUGUUUCCAGGUCUGUUCAGUGAUUUAAACCUUGGGCGGGGAUUUAGCUCAGUGGUUCCGCGCCUGCCUUGUAAGUGAGUUGAACCUUCUGGGUGGAGUAUCAGGGCGUCGGGAGAGACAGCUUAGCUGUGCUGAGUGAGUGCCCAGCGCGUGGACAGUGACCACCUUGGCAGAGAUGGAAACCUGUGCUGGGCUUUGUGUGGCCCUGGUCGGCGUGGACACACUCAGGACUACCACACACCGUCCAUGUUUCUGCACUGGUGACCACAAAGGCGCCAUUACAGGGGCCCGCGAAGCUGUGCGCCCUGAGCGUCAGCAGAGCUCAGUCAGGAGGCCGCGUCGGCUGCUUUCCUCUGGGCUCCGGAUCCCGCCCGUUCCUGUCAGCUCUGUGCAGUACUCAGACCCUGUGUGAGCGCGGUCCAGCUACCAGAGUCGGGCGGAGGCUGCAGCCAGCUCCGCAAGCCGCCAGCCAGGGUGAGCUCGUGGGUCCUGAGCUGACAGCUCCUGGCCCUGGCACAUCGUCCUGUCUCUCCCACUGCUGUCUUUCCUCGGGGGACCUGUGUGGCACAGCAGUGGCUGAAACAUCACAAGAUCUUUGUCUCUGUUGAUGAACUGUACAUUGCAUAACCUUCUGUCUCUUCUUUAAAAACGUGUCAGGAAACAGCACAUACCAGAGUGUGGGAGAUGGAAUGGGGCUGCAGCGGGGCUCCGUGGCACAGCGCUGGCCUCACCAUGCCUGGGCCCUGGCCUCCAUCCCCAGAGCUCAGAAAAGAGCACACAUGAGCAGCCUUUAGCUUAAGAAACAGAACAUUCCCAGGCGCCCGCACCCCUGCUCGUCUGACCCCAUCCAUGCCGUAGGAGUGUCUCCAUUUUAACCAGUGAUGUGCCACGAUACUGAUACAUAAAACCCACAGGAACAAUGGCUUUUGAGUGCCUCAGCAAUUUUUAAGAAUGUAAAGAGAUUCGGAGACCGAAAGCUUGAGAACCACUACUAUAAGAAGCUGGUUUUAGGGCCAGGGAUUUAGCUCAGUGGUUUCGACGCCUGCUGCGCAAGUGCAAGGACCCGAGUUUGAUCUCCGGUACCAAAAAAAAAAAAAGUGAGUUUUACUUGGUAAUGCCAACGUGUUUGCUAAAGUGCUUGUACCAGUUCCCACCCUGGUGGCAAUGGCUCAGAGUUCCCCAUGCCCCGUAUCUAGCACACACUUGCGCUUAGCUGUCUUUGACAUUUGCCAAUCAAAGCUAGGUGUGGUGGCACACACCUGUAAUCUCAACACUCAGGAGGCUGAGGCGGGAGGAUCGCCCUAAGUUUGAGCCCAGCCUGGGCUACACGGUGAGUUCAAGGCCAGCGUGAACUACAUAGCAAGACAGUGUCUCAAAAAACAAAACAAAACCUUUUGCCAAUUGGAUGGCUGUUAUAUAGUUUGCAGUUCCCUGUUUACGAGUGAAGUUGGUUUUUCACAUGAGCCCUCUUUUGUGAAAUUCCUAUUUAUGUGUCAUGCUCUUUUCCCCGUUAAGUUUUAUGUUUCUUUUUUCCUUAUUCAUUCAUGAUUUCUUUAUAUAUUCUGGAUAUCAGUCCUGUGUCAGCAUAACAUCUCACCCAUAUUUCCUCCCAGUUUAUGUGUUGUCUUUUGUACUUGUAUUGAAUACAUGAAUCAACUUGGAGAAACUUUACAUCUUUUCAGUAAUUGUGUCUUCCCGUGAAAAAGAGUAUGUAUCCCUCCGUUUACUAGCUCUUCUUAAUAUCUCUCAAUAAACAAUAAUUUUCUCUACAAAGGCUUUGAUGUCUUAUCUUAGAUUUCUUCACAGGAGUUGUGUAUUCUUAAUGCAAUCACCUAUUGAAUUUUUAAAAUUACAUUUCCUAUUCUGAUUCUCACAGAUUAUAGAAAUGGCAUGGCUAUGUAUUGAUUUUAGAUCCACCACCACUAACAAACGUGGAUUAUUUGAGAAAGGUGCCUGCACAUCCUUUAAGUUUUUACAUCAUCAGCAGUUUUCGUUUCUGACCCUUGCAUCUUAAAGAUUUUCUUAUUUCUGUACUGACUAGGAGCUGUACAACAAUGUCGAAAAGAACUGAGAGUGAACAUCCUUGUCUUAAUCUUGAUUUAAAGGAAUGGUUUUAGCAUUUCACUGUGCAGUAUAUUUUUUC